UAGGGAAUCUUCGGCAAUGGACGGAAGUCUGACCGAGCAACGCCGCGUGAGUGAAGAAGGUUUUCGGAUCGUAAAGCUCUGUUGUAAGAGAAGAACGAGUGUGAGAGUGGAAAGUUCACACUGUGACGGUAUCUUACCAGAAAGGGACGGCUAACUACGUGCCAGCAGCCGCGGUAAUACGUAGGUCCCGAGCGUUGUCCGGAUUUAUUGGGCGUAAAGCGAGCGCAGGCGGUUAGAUAAGUCUGAAGUUAAAGGCUGUGGCUUAACCAUAGUACGCUUUGGAAACUGUUUAACUUGAGUGCAAGAGGGGAGAGUGGAAUUCCAUGUGUAGCGGUGAAAUGCGUAGAUAUAUGGAGGAACACCGGUGGCGAAAGCGGCUCUCUGGCUUGUAACUGACGCUGAGGCUCGAAAGCGUGGGGAGCAAACAG
rnacentral:rRNA from 1 species